GAAUUGAAGAAGAUAAAGGAACUGGCCACAGUGGCAGGAAGCUGUUUAAAACUGAAGUUGAUGGACUUCCUUCUACAUUGGCCUUGGGAAGAAAACUCUUGAGGUGUUUUGUGACCUAACCUGACUCUCUUGGGUCUGCUGCCCCUAGUUCCAGUUCUGGAGGAGGAGGAGAAAGGAGGAAGAUGGGCAUAAUUUUCCAAAUCAGCAAGCAGGAUCUGAGGAAGUGCUGCCAUGUUCUGGACUUUAAGUGGAUUAAUACCAUACCAUGGAUAAAACAAGAACAUUGGAAAAACAAGACCUCACCAUUCACAGAAAAAAAUCCUAAUUCAACAAGUUUUUCAUCAUUAAAAAAAAAGCCACUGAGGAUCUCAUCCCUAGCCAAGUGACAUUUUCUUCACUCUUUCAUUGGAUAAAAGGACAUCCAACUAAACUCUAGCAGCAACUCCAUUGGUAGAACUCACUGGCAUCUUAGGAGAACCCACGUGGGCUGAAUGGAUGCUAAUUUAUGCAUAUUUACAGACAACUAACUCCACAACUCCUAUGUGCUACACCGCUUUGUGAGUUCAAAGUUAACCUUCCAACAACAACAGGAGAAGAAUUUUAAUCGAAAAAGAUAAUGCCAGUGGUUGGCAGACGGGCUUUUUUUGGGGGGCUGUUCUAUUAAGAAAUCACUGGAAUGGCUUUGUAGCAAUUGUAACAGAUUCUUAUUUAAAUGAGAUUUUUUUUUUUAAUAAAGGGAAAAUCAUCCGAGUUUG
rnacentral:lncRNA from 1 species